GAUACUCAAUGAAAGGUCUGUCUAAAAAUGGUAGGCAUGCUAUGGCCAGGAAGAAGAGGAGCACUGCCAUUUCUUCUUAAAUAUCUGAAACCUAAAAUUAUUUCAUGGCAUUUUAAUUAAAUAAUCCCAUAAGUAAGAAUGCUUUGGUGAUAAAGAAGACAUGAAAACACAUUCUACUAGAAAUAAGCACCUACUUUGUAUAACUUUCUUAAAAGCCCCUUCUCCUGAAUCAUGCCCCUAAUUAAAUUUAGAUCCAAAUAAUAUCAUCCACAGUUAACAGAUAUGGUUUUAUUUCUCCCUGUUUCUCUGAAAAGAUGUGUAUCCUUUCAGGUAAGUAUUCCCUUGACAAAGAGGUUGCUAUGGAUACAUUUUUUUUUUUUCUAAUUGAGUGCUGGUAUUUUAAAGCCUGUGCAAUUUAGUGAAGUCUACCUGGCCUUAGGGUUAUACUAAUUUAAGUGCCUGUCUUUAAUGCUCACAGUUUUAUCUUAAUACAGCUGCUCUGUGCCUUUGACAUGUGGUGUUCAAGACGGAUUGAAAGAUGGCGUGGGAUUUCGUACAGGAAAAGCCAAGAAGACAAAUAUCACACGACCCACCUAACUGCUGCUGAAUCAGUGGAUGUUUCACUUGCCUGGAAUUUGUCUGUUCUUGGCAUGUUUAAUAAUGAGUCAUGCAAUGCAUUUGCAAGGCGCCCAAGGCCCAGGGCCACGUGAUGGUUUUCUGUGGCUAAGUCCCUCGUCUUUGUUCAGACAGGCCACUAAUGCAACCCACAAAGCUGACCUAAUGCUACUUCACUGGGUCUCUUUUUCUUCCGCGGCUCAGCCUGAAUGUAACAUUUAGGAAGUCGACUGUCAGGCAUGCAAAUUGAGAGAAAAACAUGCCACAUUAAAUCAUAACAGUUUAAUAAGGCUCUACUCGUGGGCAAAAAACUUUUGGUUCUCUCCCGAGUUGAGACAAGAUGCAAAACAUUUAGUGAAAUUGGCCCCAGUUUACAUAUGGUGGCUGUCA
ensembl:lncRNA